rnacentral:rRNA from 1 species
CCCAAGCGUUGUUCGGAUUUACUGGGCGUAAAGGGUGUGUAGGGGGUCGUGUAAGUUUGACGUGAAAUCCCGUUGCUCAACAACGGAACUGCGUCGAAUACUGCUCGGCUGGAGGUUCGGAGAUGAGGGCGGAAUUCUCGGUGUAGCGGUGAAAUGCGUAGAUAUCGAGAGGAACGCCGAUGGCGAAAGCAGCCCUCAAGACGAAAUCUGACCCUGAAACACGAAGGCCAGGGGAGCAAACGGGAUUAGAUACCCCGGUAGUCCUGGCAGUAAACGGUGCUCAUUAGAUGUAGGCGGAUUCGACCCCGCCUGUGUCGAACCUAACGGAUUAAAUGAGCCGCCUGGGAAGUACGGUCGCAAGAUUAAAACUCAAAGAAAUUGACGGGGGCCCGCACAAGCGGUGGAGUAUGUGGCUUAAUUCGAUGCAACGCGAAGAACCUUACCUGGCCUUGACAUGCUUAGUUCAAGCGUGGAAACACGCUGGCCCGCAAGGGCGAUUUGCACAGGUGCUGCAUGGCUGUCGUCAGCUCGUGUCGUGAGAUGUUGGGUUAAGUCCCGCAACGAGCGCAACCCUCGUGGUUAGUUAUUCCCGGGCAACCGGAAUCUGACCAGACUGCCCUGUGAAACGGGGAGGAAGGUGGGGACGACGUCAAGUCCGUAUGGCCCUUACGGCCAGGGCUGCACACGUACUACAAUGCCCAAUACAGAGGGACGCAAGACCGCAAGGUGAAGCUAAUCCCGUAAAGUUGGGCCCAGUUCGGAUUGGAGGCUGCAACUCGCCUCCAUGAAGUUGGAAUCGCUAGUAAUGGCGCAUCAGCUACGGCGCCGUGAAUACGUUCCCGGGCCUUGUACACACCGCCCGUCACAUCAUGAAAGCCGGUUUUACCCAAAGUCGCCUCCGGGUGCCUAAGGUAAGGCUGGUGAUUGGGAUGAAGUCGUAACAAGGUAACCAAGGGCGAA